UACGUAGGGGGCAAGCGUUGUCCGGAAUCAUUGGGCGUAAAGAGCGUGUAGGUGGCCCGGUCAGUCCGCCGUGAAAGUCCAGGGCUCAACCCUGGAAUGCCGGUGGAUACUGCCGGGCUGGAGUCCGGAAGAGGAGAGUGGAAUUCCUGGUGUAGCGGUGAAAUGCGCAGAUAUCAGGAAGAACACCCGUGGCUAAGGCGGCUCUCUAGUACGUGACUGACGCUGAGACGCGAAAGCGUGGGGAGCGAACAGG
rnacentral:rRNA from 1 species